GAGUGAUCUUUGCUUUUAUUGCAGUUAAUAAAAAUACACCAGACCAGUUAGCCCUCCAAGGAAUAGUUUACACCAUUUUUAUAAACUCCCAAAACACACAGUUUUACAAGCAAAUUGUAGAGUAUUGUCCCUGGUUUUGGUUGUUGGGUUUGGUUUUUUUUACAUUACUUAACAAGUGACAGAAGAGCUGUAGGGAUCCACCACAAGAGCAAUAACAAUAAAGGCAGCAGUUGCUAUGAGUGAAGACUACAUGUUCAUACAGACCUUUCCAUACACAUAAAUCAAGUUCUAAAAUUAUUAACACCUAUUCCAGACCAGGGGAAGGAGCUGCAGCCAUUCUGCCCAGUGGCUGACUGUUAAAGGCCAAGAGAUAGAAAAGACAGAUUAUAGAGAUAUAAAUAAACAUUUCAAGCAAAGAUCACAUUUCACAACAAGCUAAUUAGGACAAAAUACACCUCACCCCAUAGAUUGAACCAACAGCCUACAAUCCAUAGGGAAAGACAGGCCUCAUUACACACUCAUAGCUGUGAACAGCAUGUAUGGUUGAUGGGGUUUUUUCUGCAGCAGUUACUGGGGGAUUCACCCUGGUCUGGGGGUCGACUCUGAUGUGUCUCUUAUCCAGCAGUGGGAGCACAUAGUCUGGAAGCAUCCUCGUUGUGUUUUCUGCAUUGCUUCUGGAAUAGCUGCACCAGGGAUGGUCACAGGGCAGGACACGCAGACACCAGCAGAUCCAUGUAAAAAGUCAUCAGUUUUUUAACAGCCAGGAAUUUUCCCUCCAAAGAACCUUCUUUCCCCCUAAAAUUACAUUUUUGCAUGAAGGAUGUAUUUUAUAAUAUCCUUCCUUUCCCCCCCUACCUUCUAGCUCCUUUUACAAACUGGUAUUUUUCUAAGUAGGAUUUUACAAUGUGGCAGAGCUUACUAUAUCAUAGAAUCAUAGAAUGGUUUGGGUUGAAGGGACCUGAAAGCUCAUUCAGUUCCAACCCCCUGCCACGGGCAGGGACACCUUCCACUAGAGCAGGUUGCUCCAAGCCCCUGUGUCCAACCUGGCCUUGAACACUGCCAGGGAUGGGGCAGCCACAGCUUCUCUGGGCACCCUGUGCCAGGCCCUCAGCACCCUCACAGGGAAGAACUUCUUCC
rnacentral:lncRNA from 1 species